rnacentral:tRNA from 2 species
GGGGGUGUAGCUCAGUUGGUUAGAGCGUCGCCCUGUCACGGCGAAGGCCGCGGGUUCGAGUCCCGUCACUCCCGCCA